GAUCAUGGCUCAGGAUGAACGCUGGCGGCGUGCUUAACACAUACAAGUCGAACGAAGCGCCUUGGACAGAUUCUUCGGAUGAAGUCUUUGGUGACUGAGUGGCGGACGGGUGAGUAACGCGUGGGUAACCUGCCUCAUACAGGGGGAUAACAACCAGAAAUGGUUGCUAAUACCGCAUAAGCGCACAGGACCGCAUGGUCCGGUGUGAAAAACUCCGGUGGUAUAAGAUGGACCCGCGUUGGAUUAG
rnacentral:rRNA from 1 species